rnacentral:rRNA from 1 species
AGUGAACGCUGGCGGUAGGCCUAACACAUGCAAGUCGAACGGCAGCACAGUAAGAGCUUGCUCUUACGGGUGGCGAGUGGCGGACGGGUGAGGAAUACAUCGGAAUCUACUUUUUCGUGGGGGGUAACGUAGGGAAACUUACGCUAAUACCGCAUACGACCUACGGGUGAAAGCAGGGGAUCUUCGGACCUUGCGCGAUUGAAUGAGCCGAUGUCGGAUUAGCUAGUUGGCGGGGUAAAGGCCCACCAAGGCGACGCUCCGUAGCUGGUCUGAGAGGAUGAUCAGCCACAACGGAACUGAGACACGGUCCAGACUCCUACGGGAGCCAGCAGUGGGGAAUAUUGGACAAUGGGCGCAAGCCUGAUCCAGCCAUACCGCGUGGGUGAAGAAGGCCUUUGGGUUGUAAAGCCCUUUUGUUGGGAAAGAAAAGCAGCAGGUUAAUACCCCGCUGUUCUGACGGUACUCAAAGAAUACGCACCGGCUAACUUCGUG